GUGGAGUCUGGCUGCAGGGCCCAGGCCCACUUUGUGAGGUGGAGGAGGGCGGGCGCCGGAGGUGGGAGGCUGCUCCUAGCCUGAGCCCCAGAGACGGGCCUGGGGCUGGAGGGCGGGAGAUGCCACCAUUGAUGGGCACCCAUGGGAGCCCAGCAUAGACCCUGGCCUGGCGAUGACAUUGGCAACACAGGACUAGAUCCUGAGGGACAAGGACCCGGCUGUGGCCCUGGGUAGCAUGGCCUCAGGCUGCUCAGGUCCCACCGGUAAAGUCCCCCUUCAGGACGGCAGGAGUGCACAGCCCCUGACCGAAAGCCAGCCGGGGGCUCAGGGUGGGCAGGCGUCUGCAGGCUCCAGCUGCUUGGGCCCUCGAGGUGUGUCGUGGGGCCCUCCCCCUGCAGGGCAGGAGCCAGGUGGGCACCACCCAGCCUAGCUGCUCGCCCAAGGGGUGUCCCAAAGAGACAUCUUCCUGCUCCACCAACUGCGCUCUUCCCAGUUCCCCUCAGAAGCCGGGGGGGGGGGGGUCUGUGCGACUCCACCCUCCCCCCAGAACAGUGAUCUGGGCCCCUCUGUGCGUUUUCACUCUGCUCUCCACCCCCAGCCUGAAGUCCCAGGUGGCUGCUGAUUGGCACAGGCAGGUGACCUGGGAUUCACUUCCUACAGGCCCUGCCCCGCCCUGCACUCUCCCUGCACCUCAGAAUCCCCCAUUAUAAGGGUAGCAACAAAGGAAAACACCCCCCUUGUGUGGAAGAGUCAAUAAACAAGGCCUCUGCCAGGGCUCGCAGAAGAGUGCCCCAGGCCCAGGGUGCCAGGCUCUGACCGGGCCAGCAUGGGUCACAGUGGCCACCAGGGGGCAGCAGAGGUGAGCUCUCUCCAGGAGCCUGGCUUUGUGCAGGGAAAGCAGGAGGGGGACAAGGAGGCCCUGCAAGGUCACUUCAGGCCAGCAGGGGAGCCUGGGCUUGGGUCUAGCUCCACUGCUACCUCCCACAUGUCGGGGCCUCAUCUGAGAAUUCAGGGAGCGCAGGACCUGCUUAAAGCCUCGCCUCCAGAAAUCCAGCCUAGGCCCAGGGAGGCUUUACCCACACAGCUGCAGCCUGAAGUCCCGGAUGGCUUGCAGCCUGCCUCCUGUAUACAGGAGACAUUGCCGUCCAGCCAGGGCAGGGGCUUGGCUGAUACUGCACAAUAAAUUUGAACCAGAGUCCAGACCAGCUGGGCCUGCAGACACCCGGCCUGCCCACGCCCUAGAUCACUGCUGGCCAACGCCCACAGGCCUGCACCCGUCCCAAUCCCACCAAGUCUUCCAGGCCCAGGCUCCGCUCACCCCUGGGGAAGUGACCCUCCUCCAGCUCCCAGCGCGCUUUGUGAAUGCCUGGAGAGGCCUCCCUAUGCCAGUCCCAGGUGUAGGGAUGCUGCAGCCACCAGCCUCGGGGCUCUGCUUGAGGGGUGCUUUCCUCCACCUGGGAGGUCCAGGCAUUGCUGGCUCCUGUGGCCUCAGCUGCCCAGAACAGGGUUGGGGGUGCUGGGGAAUGUGAGUAAGGGGAGGCCACCUCCCCUGGGAAACGUCCCCUGGUGCUUGUCUUUCCAGCUCCUCCAGAUAGGUCCCCCACAGGUUCACUGAGUGGAUGGCCCGGCCACCCUCCUCACAGCUCCCUCCUGGCUCCAGCACAGGAGGGCGGUGGCCUCAGAGCUCUCGGCUUUGUGGCCGGAAAAGACUUGUGUUGCAGGAAAAUGCAGUCCGGCAGGUCUGAGCAAGCACGCUGCUGUCCCCAGGCCUGGGGCGGGCCACAGGGAACUGCCCAGGCCUGGUGAGAGGUGUGCACCCAGCCCGGCCGCAGCCCCAGGCACAGUACGCCUGUCCCUGUCCCUGUUAUCAGGGCGGGCAGCUCUAGGAUCAGGCCGAGGCUUGGUCCUGGCCGCUCACAGGUUUAAGGCCAGGGGAUGAAUAAAGGCCUUGGGUGCCUCCUGCCCCCGCCACCCAGAGGGAGGCGCCAGGUGCCUGCCCCAGGGUUCAGCUCCCCUUCUCAGCCCUCCCAGCCCUAUUUGGCAGACUCUGGGCAGGCAGGGGAGGAGGCCACAGGCAGCCAUUUUGCAGCUGAGCUGGGGCCUGGCCAGCAGCGUUUCCCAGAGGCCUCCUCCCAGCUUGGAGCUGCAUUACCUCAUCGGGAAGCCAUUCCGGAAGGCGCUGCAAAGCCCCUGGGAGUGGGAGUGGAGCAGAGCUUUCCAAGGGCCCUCCUGGCAGCCUCAGUGCCAGACGGAGGCAGGCGUCGGGCCUCCGGGUGUCUGCCUGCCCAGUGACUGCUGGGAGGACGGCUGGCUCUGGUCAGGGUUUC
rnacentral:lncRNA from 1 species